rnacentral:rRNA from 1 species
GAUGAACGCUGGCGGCGUGCCUAAUACAUGCAAGUCGAGCGAACAGACGAGGAGCUUGCUCCUCUGACGUUAGCGGCGGACGGGUGAGUAACACGUGGAUAACCUACCUAUAAGACUGGGAUAACUUCGGGAAACCGGAGCUAAUACCGGAUAAUAUAUUGAACCGCAUGGUUCAAUAGUGAAAGACGGUUUUGCUGUCACUUAUAGAUGGAUCCGCGCCGCAUUAGCUAGUUGGUAAGGUAACGGCUUACCAAGGCGACGAUGCGUAGCCGACCUGAGAGGGUGAUCGGCCACACUGGAACUGAGACACGGUCCAGACUCCUACAGGAGGCAGCAGUAGGGAAUCUUCCGCAAUGGGCGAAAGCCUGACGGAGCAACGCCGCGUGAGUGAUGAAGGUCUUCGGAUCGUAAAACUCUGUUAUUAGGGAAGAACAAAUGUGUAAGUAACUAUGCACGUCUUGACGGUACCUAAUCAGAAAGCCACGGCUAACUACGUG